AUGAAAGAAACUCUUCAUGUGGAAAGAAAGAAGAGAGAGUCAGUGAUCCAGGACACUUCACAAAAAUAAUCUGGUAUCAGAAUUCACAAAAAAAUUCAAGCUGGAAUGGACCACUGGAGGACCCUGUGGGAGAAUCUAUCCAUCAUUCAAACCCACGUAUGACACAACCUGAAUAAACACAAAUUGGAUUCACCAGAAGA